ensembl:lncRNA
CGAUUCUCGAGCUGGUCGAUCGAUGGGGUGGCUCGAUCGGGCUGGGCCUUCUGUCUUCCUGCCGACGCACGCGUAGGCUGCCUGGCGGAUGUGGCUCGCUCCCGGAGGUCGUUCCCUUCGCUUAGACUCAUAGGCUCUGUGCUGGGGACUUUUGAAUGUUGUCAGUUUUGUCCUUGAGUUUUGCAACUCCUUCCAAGAGUAGCUUCCGUGUAAAUCUUCCAGAGCUUCCCACGAUAUCAGCCAGACAUUCACUCUUCUGAAUCUAUUCCAAGCUGCACUGCCAAGAUGAAAGUUAAACUGCUUCAGACAGAUCAAAUGCCAGCAGGUGUGGGCAAGCGCAAGCCAAGAACAAUCAGACCAAGUGACAGAUAAUAGCCAGACAGACAAGGACACGACAUACUUAAAGGAAAUUUGAAAAACUAGAGAAACAUAAUUGACGCUAUUUAGUGAAGCCAUUGCA